AAGUUGUAUCAGUUCCACCAAUCACGAUGUCCUAUUCCGCACAUUCGAAAUUUCAUCAGAAAGUAUAAAUUGCUGUAAUGUUUGAUGAAGCUGAAUACUUAAAAAUUGGCUCUUAAUAAUAAUAACUUGAUAUUAACUCAUGAUUAUGGUGGC